rnacentral:rRNA from 1 species
GAUGAACGCUGGCGGCGUGCUUAACACAUGCAAGUCGAGCGGAGAGAGGUAGCUUGCUACUGAUCUUAGCGGCGGACGGGUGAGUAAUGCUUAGGAAUCUGCCUAUUAGUGGGGGACAACAUUUCGAAAGGAAUGCUAAUACCGCAUACGUCCUACGGGAGAAAGCAGGGGAUCUUCGGACCUUGCGCUAAUAGAUGAGCCUAAGUCGGAUUAGCUAGUUGGUGGGGUAAAGGCCUACCAAGGCGACGAUCUGUAGCGGGUCUGAGAGGAUGAUCCGCCACACUGGGACUGAGACACGGCCCAGACUCCUACGGGAGGCAGCAGUGGGGAAUAUUGGACAAUGGGCGCAAGCCUGAUCCAGCCAUGCCGCGUGUGUGAGGAAGGCCUUAUGGUUGUAAAGCACUUUAAGCGAGGAGGAGGCUACUUUAGUUAAUACCUAGAGAUAGUGGACGUUACUCGCAGAAUAAGCACCGGCUAACUCUGUGCCAGCAGCCGCUGUAAAAC